UGGGGAAUUUUGGACAAUGGGCGAAAGCCUGAUCCAGCAAUGCCGCGUGCAGGAAGAAGGCCUUCGGGUUGUAAACUGCUUUUGUACGGAACGAAAAGGCUCUUUCUAAUAAAGAGGGCCCAUGACGGUGCCGUAAGAAUAAGCACCGGCUAACUACGUGCCAGCAGCCGCGGUAAUACGUAGGGUGCGAGCGUUAAUCGGAAUUACUGGGCGUAAAGCGUGCGCAGGCGGUUCUAUAAGACAGAUGUGAAAUCCCCGGGCUCAACCUGGGAAUGGCAUUUGUGACUGUAGAGCUAGAGUACGGUAGAGGGGGAUGGAAUUCCGCGUGUAGCAGUGAAAUGCGUAGAUAUGCGGAGGAACACCGAUGGCGAAGGCAAUCCCCUGGACCUGUACUGACGCUCAUGCACGAAAGCGUGGGGAGCAAACAGGAUUAGAUACCCUCGUAGUCCCUGAGCGGGCUGGCAAGGCGCAU
rnacentral:rRNA from 1 species